CCAGACUCCUACGGGAGGCAGCAGUGGGGGAUAUUGCACAAUGGGGGGAACCCUGAUGCAGCGACGCCGCGUGGGUGAAGGAGUGCUUCGGCAUGUAAAGCCCUAUCGGCAGGGAAGAAGCAAGACGGUACCUGACUAAGAAGCCCCGGCUAACUACGUGCCAGCAGCCGCGGUAAUACGUAGGGGGCGAGCGUUAUCCGGAUUCACUGGGUGUAAAGGGAGCGCAGGCGGUUCUGCAAGUCUGAUGUGAAAGCCCGGGGCUCAACCGCGGGACUGCAUUGGAAACUGCGGGACUGGAGUGUCGGAGGGGUAAGCGGAAUUCCUGGUGUAGCGGUGAAAUGCGUAGAUAUCAGGAGGAACACCGGUGGCGAAGGCGGCUUACUGGACGAUGACUGACGCUGAGGCUCGAAAGCGUGGGGAGCAACCAGGAUUAGAUACCCCCGUAGA
rnacentral:rRNA from 1 species